rnacentral:rRNA from 1 species
AUGGAUGGUUACUUUGAUUUUUUAGAUGUAAACAGUUUCUCAAACCUUCCUACUAACUUGACUAUUACCUGCUUAAUUACAACAUUUGGACCGGCACCUUCGCACCAAGGCGCACAGCCGGCUCGCCGCAAGUACACCUACGCUGCCGCCUCCCCUGGGGGCUGCAAGGUGAAGUGGACGACCGAGGAGAAGCCGCACGGCGCGUCUGGGCUCUCAAGUGGGAGGCGGAGCUCGCCUCCCCCCAACGACGUCAGCUUUGAUCACAAGUGGAAGUGGGAGCCCAAGUCCAAGCCCCGUGCCGCCGGCAAGGCCAAGACCAAGCUCGAGGAAGCCAGCGAGGAUGACAAGAAUAAGCCGGCGAGGAAGUGCACGCAGAUCGAGGAGGUCCUCGCCGGCUGCGACGCCAUCCGCAAGGAUGAUGACUAUCUAAUGGUGAUUCCCUAUUCCCACAUUUUUUGCCCUCAUGUUGCAAGCUCUAAAGCUGCCCCUGCAAUUUACCAUCACAAGACAUGUCUGGGCAGCAAGUCUCCUGUGGCGGUUACUUUUAAUUCAUCGUUACAAUUCUUUGAUGGUUUGCUUGUUCAAACCUCGAUAUCUGCCUGUAGAUUCCCGUUGUUAUCUUUGUAG